UACGUAGGGGGCAAGCGUUGUCCGGAAUCAUUGGGCGUAAAGAGCGCGUAGGCGGCCCAGUAAGUCCGCUCUGAAAGUCAGGGGCUCAACCCCUGGAUGCGGGUGGAUACUGCUGGGCUAGAGUCCGGAAGAGGCGAGUGGAAUUCCUGGUGUAGCGGUGAAAUGCGCAGAUAUCAGGAGGAACACCGAUGGCGAAGGCAGCUCGCUGGGACGGUACUGACGCUGAGGCGCGAAAGCGUGGGGAGCAAAUGGG
rnacentral:rRNA from 1 species